rnacentral:rRNA from 1 species
GAUGAACGCUAGCGGCAGGCUUAAUACAUGCAAGUCGUGGGGCAGCAUGACUGUAGCAAUACAGUUGAUGGCGACCGGCAAACGGGUGUGGAACACGUACACAACCUUCCUUCAAGUGGGGGAUAGCCCAGGGGAAACUUGGAUUAAUACCCCCGUAACAUUAUAAGUGGCAUCACUUGAUAAUUAAAGCUCCGGCGCUUGAUGAUGGGUGUGCGCCUGAUUAGGAGUUGGCGGGGUAACGGCCCACCAAGCCUGCGAUCAGUAACUGGGUGUGAGAGCACGACCAGUCACACGGGCACUGAGACACGGGGCCCGACUCCUACGGGAGGCAGCAGUAAGGAAUAUUGGUCAAUGGACGCAAGUCUGAACCAGCCAUGCCGCGUGGAGGAUGAA